GACGAACGCUGGCGGCGUGCCUAAUACAUGCAAGUCGACCUUAGUGGCGAACGGGUGAGUAAAACGUGGGUAACCUGCCCAUCAGAAGGGGAUAACACUUGGAAACAGGUGCUAAUACAGACAACCGAUGGAUGGACCCGCGGUGCAUUAGCUAGUUGGGGAGGAAAGGGUUCCCAAAGGCCACGAUGAAUAGCCGACCUGAGAGGUUGUUCGGCCACAUUGGGACUGGGACACGGCCCAAACUCCUACGGGAGGCAGCAGUAGGGAAUCUGCGGCAAUGGACGAAAGUCUGACCGAGCAACGCGGCGUGAGUGAAGAAGGUUUUCGGAUCGUAAAACUCUGUUGUUAGAGAAGCGGUAUCUAACCAGAAAGCCACGGCUAACUACGUGCCAGCAGCCGCGGUAUUC
rnacentral:rRNA from 1 species